rnacentral:rRNA from 1 species
CCCUUAGAUGCUCUGGACCGCACGCGCGCUACACUGGUCGAUGCAACGAGUUUCUUUCCUUGGCCGACAGGCCUGGGCAAUCUUUGAACAUCGAUCGUGAUCGGGAUAGAUUCUUGUAAUUUUUGAUCUUAAACGAGGAAUUCCUAGUAAACGCAAGUCAUCAGCUUGCAUUGAUUACGUCCCUGCCCUUUGUACACACCGCCCGUCGCACCUACCGAUUGAAUGGUCCGGUGAAAUCUCCGGACUGGCGUGAGUCGGAGCAAUCUGACAAACGCCGGAAAGUUGAUUAAACCUUACCAUUUAGAGGAAGGUGAAGUCGUAACA